UUUGGACCUAAAUAAUACUUAAUUUUGUUAUUUCAAAGUCCAAGAGCGAACAAAUUUUGAGCAGUUUCUGGUGCUGAAUUGUGCAUCUUCGUCUCAUACCCCCCACGUUUUUUACGUCUUUCCCGAUUCAUGCUAUAAAAAUGGCUGCCGUUUCCCUUGCUUCUCGCUCUACCUCUUGUGUACCGGAAACGUAACAUUGACUGAAGUGAGGAAGAAUCCUCUGAAGCUCAGGAGGGAUAGCGCCGUAGACGGCGGCUGUGUCCUCGACGAACCGCCGAAUCGGCGAUUCUUCGGCCGCGGCGCUAUCCAUCCUGAGUUUCAUCGGUUCUUAUUGCUCUCGCCUGCAACAGAGCUAGGUUACAGAAACAGAGCAAUGGCUUUUGAUACAGUGAACGGUUAUUCGACGACGGAAUAAGAACGAUUUGGCGAGAGAGAGGGAGAAUGGGGAGCGAUUCCCGGAUUCGCGCGAGUUAGGAUUUUGUCGCUUUCUUGCUUUUGAGUGGGUAAAAUGUCGAGGGAAAAUCUUCGCAGGCGUUUGAAAAGAAAUUAAAAAAAGAAAAAAAAUCUUCGCAGCGUAUCUUAGAAAUUUUGGAACCUUCUGAUAUUUUCUUCGCAGAUAGCAGAAAAUCACAUGACCUUUGAUUCUUCUUUCAAGUCUCUUUCUCAACGGGGCCAUAUGAUUAUCAAUCGUCGACGGCAAAAUAUAAACGCCAUUUUAGGCGCACCAACUUUUGAAUGGGGAAAAAAAAAAUAACGCAGUGGAUAAUAAAUAAAAUAGAGAUAGAAAAUUUGUUAUUUGUGAAGUGUUCUCUGCACUGUUCUUUCAAAUCGUUGUUUAUAUAAAGGCCACGCAACCUAGUAAAAAUGGUAAAAAUCAAAAGGAGGUUAAAGAAGCACGUAUAAGCUUUUUAACGAUUCUCGUGCAAGUUAUAUGCGUCACCAAAAGGAGGGUAGGCCAAGCAGCUAUUCCGAAUGACCUUCUUCUCUUGAGAGGAGCCAAUUUGUAGAAUAUUACCAGGGGCUCGAUUUAACCCAGAGAGAGUUAAUUUUUAUGGAGCCUGAAUUGGUUCGAUUGGCUUUAGAUCAUGAUCAGGAGGAAAAUAGAGAGAGAUAGAGAUCGAGAAUACGAAAAAGAAUCAACAUAGCCGCGAUUAGGGUUUUGCAGAAGCUUAAAUUAAAUUCAAGGUCCGAAUUCCAUGGCGACUCGGAGCCGGAGGUCGGGGACGAGCAACCGGACUCCGGCAAUGAGACAUGGAAAUAGUCGCUGCAGCCACGGAGGAAGCGACCAACCAUCGCCGGCGAAAACCACCUGCCCUAAAAAUCAAAGUCUCCGUGCCGGAAAACAGAGCAAUGGAGACGCAGGUCUAUUCAUUUGCUGGUUGAUUUUUUGCGCCAUCAUCUCCAUCACCGGAAGUGGAAGCUGCCUUAAUCUCCUCCAGUUGCUGGAGAAUUUGC